GGAGACGUGGAUUCUGUCCAUCACAUUGAUUUUCGGGGCGUCAAGUAUCGCUUUUGGCAGGGAUAACGCCCAUUGCAUUCCCCAGAUGGACAGCGGUCUCAUAUAAAUGAGGGAUCUGUAGUGCCCAUCCGUGGACCAUGCCUCUGGAGUCUGGAACCAGUACCCAAAUCCUUCUUCUGACCACCCAGCAAGGAAGAUACCCU
rnacentral:misc_RNA from 1 species